UGCCAAAACUAAUUUAAUUACUUUUGGAAGAAAGUUGAACUCAGUUCCUAACUUUGUCUAGGUCACACCCAACGAGGGUACUCCUUGGGCCAUUAGCUCAGGUGGUUAGAGCGCACCCCUGAUAAGGGUGAGGUCCCUGGUUCAAGUCCAGGAUGGCCCAUUCGGUGUUGGGGGUAUAGCUCAGUUGGUAGAGCGCCUGCUUGGCAAGCAGGAUGUCAGCGGUUCGAGUCCGCUUACCUCCACUGAUCGACCUCCUGAUGACGAAGCUCAAGGAGAAUUUUGUUUAAUGUGAUCUAGAAUUUGUUCAAGAAGAAUGAACCUAGCUUCCUGUCAUUUCACUAAAGAACUUUUUUAGUUUGAUUGAUAUGAUGCUGGGCUCCCCGCAAUUUUCAUCGCAGAGUUCUUCAGUAGAACCUUGACAACUGCAUAGUGAGUCUGGAAAGAAUAAAGCAUCUCAUGGAUGCAUUGUUUUUGAUUUGAUUAUAUAUUUCUGACUCUUCAGGAAUAUUGAAUUAUAUUGAAAAAACAAUGUUCAAUUCUUGAGCAAGAGCUGAGACUCUAUGACGUCCUUUCUCUACAUUUUAUGUAUAGAGAGUUCGAUUUUUAAUUUUGUUCUUUUUAGAAUUAUUUGUUAGAUUAACUUAAUUCUAACGAUAAAUUCUAAUUAAGAGAGUUCAAAAUUAAAGAGAAUAGUGUUGACAACAUAUGACGUCUUAGAGAUAAAUGGUCAAGCUACAA
rnacentral:tRNA from 1 species